rnacentral:hammerhead_ribozyme from 1 species
AUCCAGCUGACGAGUCCCAAAUAGGACGAGCGCGCGUCCUGGAU